UGCCUCAGUAACGGCGAGUGAAGCGGCAAAAGCUCAAAUUUGAAAUCCCCCGGGAAUUGUAAUUUGAAGAGAUUUGGGUCCGGCCGGCGGGGGUUAAGUCCACUGGAAAGUGGCGCCACAGAGGGUGACAGCCCCGUGAACCCCUUUAACGCCCUCAUCCCAGAUCUCCAAGAGUCGAGUUGUUUGGGAAUGCAGCUCUAAGUGGGUGGUAAAUUCCAUCUAAAGCUAAAUACCGGCGAGAGACCGAUAGCGAACAAGUACAGUGAUGGAAAGAUGAAAAGCACUUUGAAAAGAGAGUGAAAAAGUACGUGAAAUUGUUGAAAGGGAAGGGCUUGCAAGCAGACACUUAACUGGGCCAGCAUCGGGGCGGCGGGAAACAAAACCACCGGGGAAUGUACCUUUCGAGGAUUAUAACCCCGGUCCCUAUUUCCUUACCGCCCCGAGGCCUGCAAUCUAAGGAUGCUGGCGUAAUGGUUGCAAGUCGCCCGUCUUGAACCACCGGAACAAAAA
rnacentral:rRNA from 1 species